GUUGUGCCAUGAGUUUGCAGCACAACAUUUUUAUAUACAUGAGUAAUUCUGUAUAUAUCAGUAGGUGAGUGCACCUAGUGUGUCAGUAAUCGUGAGUGUGCUGAUAUAGUGCAUAGUUGAGGUACAGGGUUUCUAUAAAGGAGUAAUGACACAAUGUUAAGGUCUUGGGUUCAGCGUUGGUCGGUGGUCCUCUGUAUGAGGCGAACAUUCCAGGGUCAAUGACAUUGUGGGG